rnacentral:rRNA from 1 species
UACGUAGGGUGCAAGCGUUGUCCGGAUUUAUUGGGUUUAAAGGGUGCGUAGGCGGCCUGUUAAGUCAGUGGUGAAAUCCAACAGCUCAACUGUUGAUGUGCCAAUGAUACUGACAGGCUUGAGUACAGACGAGGUAGGCGGAAUUGACAGUGUAGCGGUGAAAUGCUUAGAUAUGACAUAGAACACCAAUUGCGAAGGCAGCUCACUACACAAAUAUUGACGCUGAGGCGCGAAAGCGUGGGGAUCAAACAGG